rnacentral:lncRNA from 1 species
UAGGGGUGAGCAUUCGGUCGGUUCGGUUCAAAACCGAACCGAACCGAAAUAACCGAAAACCGAAUUGCAGAAUUUUACACAAACCGAACCGAACCGAAUAAGAGGAAUAACCGAAUCGAACCGAACCGAUUUGAUUCGGUUCGGUUCGGUCGGUUCGAUCGGUUCGAUUCGAUUUUUAAAAUUUUUUUUUUCACAUUCAUUCUAAAAUCCAAUUAAAAUAUUUUAAUUN